rnacentral:lncRNA from 13 species
GGUACAUACUUAAGGUAUCUACAAGGCAGGAGACCCCCUACAAAAUGUUCUUUGGAAAAUUUUGAUAUGUGAAUAAACACAUCCAGGGGGAUUGGAUUUCGAGUAAUGCUUUUAACAAAGUUUCUGUUGAUAUUUUUCUGAAUAAAAUGGUAAGUACAUAUUACAU